GUUGUACUUAAGUUUAAAACAUUGGAUAUAAUUGAAAUUGUUGGGGAAUUCUUUAUUUAAAUUAAUUUUUUAUUUAAGCUCAUUGUAAAUCGAUUCUUUUUGUCUAGAAAAAAAAAGAAUAAAAGUUUUUUAUAUCUUUUUAUGCAGUGCUGCUAUUCACGACACAAUCGCCUUUAAUUUACAGUUAUUUGUUAGUUUUUAGUAAGGCGGUUUUCUCUGCAAAUAGUUGGCACAAAAGUGAGGAAGGAAAGAAAAAUAAAAUAUAAAUCAAACAAAUUUUUAAUUUUUUUGUGUGUGUGUGUUCUUUGAUUUUUUGUUUUUUGGUUCUUUUUUAUGUAACUUAAGCAACCUUUUAGAGAACUGAAGAUCUAUAAUCUCCGGAAGUAAACACCCCAUGUAAAAUCUAUGAAACACUAAUCGAGUCACGAGCAGAAUACGGCCUAAUACGUUAUAAUUCACAAUGAAGCAAAAAAUAAGAGUUCACUAAGUAUGAAGUCAUAUUUGAAUUUCUUAUCAAACAUUAUGAUGAGUCAUUAAAUUCAUAAAAAAUGGCCUGGAGUGAUACAUUAUCAUACGUACAAAUAAAUUUAAGACCGCAUAUCUAAUUUUCGUCGGCUACUCAAAUAUCAGAUACUAAAGAACGAGUGAUCCGUCCUGCCGCUCUCGAAUACAAUGUAUGCCGUGGAUUCAUAUUCGUGAUGAGUAUGUUUUCUAAUGUAACAAAAACAAAAUCUCCAUGCAAAUU